AGUCAGAGAUAGUGUGUAGCAGAUGAGGCUGGGUUUAGGGUGUUACAAAAAACAACAACGACACAAGGAGCUUAUCCUGUUGAAGCAACAACGAGGCUUCAAGAUUCAACACCAGUUUGCGUUCUUGAUUCGACACAAAAUGAGGUAGAGGCUGAAGAGAUCUAUCGACAAAUUCAGUGGAGAAUUGGCAUAAUUGGCAGAGACAGAAUCAAUGGAAUAAGUCAUGAGAUCGGAGCAAGAACAUAGUUCCAGGAUCUAGGCGAAUGAUACCAUGAAAGUGUAUAAGAUAAUAUGGAGAACUAUGACUGGUAAAUGAAUAUUUUUACAUUUGAACUAUAGUGUAUAUUUCAUACUCUUGAUUAUUGUUAAUACACGUAUUUAUACUAAA